ACGCGAAGAACCUUACCCGGGCUUAAAUUGCAGAUGAAUUACGGUGAAAGCCGUAAGCCGCAAGGCAUCUGUGAAGGUGCUGCAUGGUUGUCGUCAGCUCGUGCCGUGAGGUGUCGGCUUAAGUGCCAUAACGAGCGCAACCCUUGUUGUCAGUUACUAACAGGUUCCGCUGAGGACUCUGACAAGACUGCCAUCGUAAGAUGUGAGGAAGGUGGGGAUGACGUCAAAUCAGCACGGCCCUUACGUCCGGGGCUACACACGUGUUACAAUGGGGGGUACAGAGGGCCGCUACCACGCGAGUGGAUGCCAAUCCCCAAAACCUCUCUCAGUUCGGACUGGAGUCUGCAACCCGACUCCACGAAGCUGGAUUC
rnacentral:rRNA from 1 species